UACGUAGGGGGCAAGCGUUGUCCGGAUUUAUUGGGCGUAAAGAGCGUGUAGGCGGCUUUACAGGUCCGUUGUGAAAACUCGAGGCUCAACCUCGAGACGCCGGUGGAAACCGUAAAGCUAGAGUCCGGAAGAGGAGAGUGGAAUUCCUGGUGUAGCGGUGAAAUGCGCAGAUAUCAGGAAGAACACCCGUGGCGAAGGCGGCUCUCUGGGCCGGUACUGACGCUGAGACGCGAAAGCGUGGGGAGCGAACAGG
rnacentral:rRNA from 1 species